GUGCAGGUGUAGUUUAGGGUGGUGCAGGUGUAGUUUAGGGUGGUGCAGGUGUAGUUUGGGGUGGUGCAGGUGUAGUUUAGGGUGGUGCAGGUGUAGUUUGGGGUGGUGCAGGUGUAGUUUAGGGUGGUGCAGGUGUAGUUUGGGGUGGUGCAGGUGUAGUUUAGGGUGGUGCAGGUGUAGUUUGGGGUGGUGCAGGUGUAGUUUAGGGUGGUUAGUUGGUGCAGGUGUAGUUUAGGGUGGUUAGUUGGUGCAGGUGUAGUUUAGGGUAGUGCAGGUGUAGUUUGGGGUAGUGCAGGUGUAGUUUGGGGUGGUGCAGGUGUAGUUUGGGGUGGUGCAGGUGUAGUUUAGGGUAGUGCAGGUGUAGUUUAGGGUGGUGCAGGUGUAGUUUGGGGUGGUGCAGGUGUAGUUUGGGGUGGUGCAGGUGUAGUUUAGGGUAGUGCAGGUGUAGUUUAGGGUGGUGCAGGUGUAGUUUGGGGUGGUGCAGGUGUAGUUUGGGGUGGUGCAGGUGUAGUUUAGGGUGGUGCAGGUGUAGCUUGGGGUGGUGCAGGUGUAGUUUGGGGUGGUGCAGGUGUAGUUUAGGGUAGUGCAGGUGUAGUUUGGGGUGGUGCAGGUGUAGUGUAGGGUGGUGCAGGUGUAGUUUAGGGUGGUGCAAGUGUAGUUAAGGGUGGUUAGUUGGUGCAGGUGUAGUUUAGGGUGGUUAGUUGGUGCAGGUGUAGUUUAGGG